UACGUAGGGUCCGAGCGUUGUCCGGAAUUACUGGGCGUAAAGAGCUCGUAGGUGGUUUGUCGCGUUGUUCGUGAAAACUCACAGCUUAACUGGGGGCGUGCGGGCGAUACGGGCAGACUGGAGUACUGCAGGGGAGACUGGAAUUCCUGGUGUAGCGGUGGAAUGCGCAGAUAUCAGGAGGAACACCGGUGGCGAAGGCGGGUCUCUGGGCAGUAACUGACGCUGAGGCGCGACAGCGUGGGGAGCAAACAGG
rnacentral:rRNA from 1 species